rnacentral:lncRNA from 1 species
GCUCAACUAUCACCUGCCCGGCUCUACAUAACCGCGGAGCAGAGCCCGUUCCUCCCUGCUCCACCUUCGUGACCCCGCGUGAGUGAUCCAGCGCCGCCGUGAGCAGUUGGCAUCAGCUAAUCCUGGAGGAGCGGCUGCUCGGAAAUCGUCACGGGAGUGCUAGGUCUUGAGGCCGCAGCCGGGUCACCACUCGACGGUGGCGGUCAGCGCAACGCGCUAAAAUCCAGUGAGUCCAUCCUUCCCUCUGCGGUACCCUUGGAUUCAUCGGUUGUCGUGGGCGAUUGGGGAUGACGAGGUAGGGAGCGGGCUCGAAGCCGGUGAGCUGGCGGUGAACUCUUGGUGGGGUCGGUGGCGAGCGUUGGCGCGCGGUCGGCUCAGUGCCCUGGCGUCGCGCUGGGGAAGAUGGCUAGCUAACUGUUGAUUUGUGAACCAGCGGGCAGGAUCGGGUGAGCACACUGAGGCCUAGUUUGGUGGACCCGGAAAUAGAGGGGAUUCAUGCGGAGGGGAUCUCCUUCUAUUCAAUUUUGAAUAACAAGUGGAUUCCUCUUGUGACACCCCAGUGUCACCUAGGGUUUCUCCUAGAAAUCCAAACCAAGAACCAUUAUUUCAUGUAAAUCAAAGUAAGCAUGAGCAUCAAAUUAACUUGAGUAAUAAAGAAUUCACCAAGUAUAUGCUUAAAAGUGUCAUAAUCAAAACAAUUGAGACUUUUGAAAGAUAAGAAUGUGCAACCCUAAUUAAGAACCCUAAGUGAGCCCCAUGAACAAAAUUCAAGAAAAUGAGGAAAAGGGAAUGAAAAAUUUAAAAUUUUGAGUUGAGCCAAUUAUACAAGUUAAAGUAUAUUUAUUAAGCAACAAGAAAGAUUGAGAAAGCUUAGCCAAAAUAAUUCAAAUAAAACCCCAAAUCAAGCUUCUCAUGUAGGGACUCAUUGGGAAUUCUGAAUUUCAGAAUUCUGAAAUUCAGACCUUGAGCCAAAGAUCAGGGAUGUUCACCUUGAUCCCUAACUCGAAUCCUAAUGGCCCCAUUGACAAAAUUUUGUCUAACUAACCCCUCUGUCGUAUGCCAGAAGAUGGCAUUGGGACGCGAGCCCUAGACACGACAAAACCUGGGAUUUGCCUCGGGUUUGGGCAGGGAGACAAACCAGAUUUCCUGGCUCCAUAUCUCUGCAACCAGUAGGCAAAAUCCUAUGACCCCCACGCAAGAAAGGUAGCUUGUAGGGAGGAGAAGAGGUUUUGUGCACUGACCAAGGCGAGAGCAGGCUCGGAUGAGCGACCACACGCGCCAGAACUUGGGCAGAACGCACGGGCACACGUGUUCGACCCUGGUCGGCACGCCAGAGCUCGCCCAACCCGCGCGCGCGCUCACCCCGGCGUCCGGUCAAGUCCGCCGCGCGCCCAUGCCCUCGGUCGUGCUCGCCCGCGCCUAUAAAGCCUCCCCGGGCGCACCUCUCUUCGCCCCGCACUCACCCUCACCGGCCAGCCACCUUUCCUUAGCUCCGGCGAGCUUAAUUCCGCCCGCCAUUGCCGCCAGAGCUUCGGCCGCCGGGGCCAGCCCACUCCAGCCACCCUCAAGCCCAGCCAGUGCUUCGGCUAGCUCCGCCAGUAGCCCGUUAAGCUUGCCAAGCCCUCGGACCCAACCGGACUUCACCGGAGGCCCGAGAUCGACCUCACCGGACUUCGGUCUUCCGCCGCCGCGCGUGGACCAAGCCAUCCAGUGAGUCUCCGCCCGAUUCCUUUCGCUCAUAUCUUCUCUGGCAUCCCGUGGACCUCCCUGACCUGUUUGAUUGAACUAUCUCGCCGUGACCAGGCCGGUCUCCUCGCCGCCGACGAGCAUCCCCGCCUGCGCGCGUGGACCGACCGACUCCGGCCAUCUCCGACGGCGUUCCGCACACCGUUGUGAUCCCCGCGACCUCCCCUUCAUCCUCGACCACUUCACCGGAGCAGUCUCGCCGCCGGUAAGCCCCUCCGCCCUUUUCUUCGUCGCGGCUACUGUUUAAGGUAGAAGAAGGACCUCGGGUUAGGUUCUGUAGAACCCGAGGGGUUUUCUGUAAUGUCAGCGACUCAUGUGAAUAGUAACCUAAGGACUGAUUCGCGAGGAAAACUUAGAAAACCGCCAGGGACCCCAGUGCAAAGUGGAUUUCCAUUUAAUCAAUUCUGUUAUUCUUUUUAAAAUGACCAGAGAACUUAGAAAAUCCAUAACUUGAUGAAAUCUUAAUAAAAAGUUGUCAAACCAAUUUUGCUAGCUCUGGAAUAUUAUGAUCUAUCAUUUAAAAAUAGUAAACCCUAUGCUUCCUGUUCUAAAUUUUUAAGUUUAAAUUUAAAAACAGAAACCCCCUAAACCUUGUUUAAUUAAGGAAAAUUAGUUUUUCUUUUGUGCUGAGCUCAAGAAAAUUUGUAGAUGUUUAAACCUUAUUUAGACACUGUUUAAAAAUAGUAGGAACCCCAGCAUUGGAAAAUAUGAUGUAGUUUUUCAUUUAAAGCUAUUUUGUCCAAAACUUAGAGAAAAUCAGAAAGGCCUUAGAAAUUAAUGAACAGUGAUUAAUAAUAUUUUUCCUAGUUUACUUAUGCAACAGAGAACCUAGGAAAAAUACAGAGACCAUUAAUUUGGACCAGUUUUAAAUUAAGAUGAUUUGUUUAGCCUCAUAUAGACUGAAAAUCAAUUAUUAGAGUUACAAAACUAUAACCAAAAUGAUUAAUAAAAAUCUAGUGGACUUAUAACCACCAGAGCCCCACUACAAAAAUACAGAGCACCUCAACCCAACUCUUUAAGUAAGGAAAUUAAAUGCAAAGUGAUAAUAAGGCAUUUUCCAACUAAAUCAUGAACAACCCUAAAUAAUGUGAUAAUGGGCAACCAAAAAUCAGCUAAGUCCAUGAUGAGACAAGCCACCAGAGAAAAAUGCAAACCCAUGAAAAGGAAGUAAACCCAUACCUUUUGUUAGUAAAUUAUGAGAAAGGCCACUUAAUUCAAAUAAUGCAAACCACCCCUUCCCUUAAGCAAAAAGAAGCCAAACUUCAAAAUGAUUGCUCUUGCACAAAAUACUAACUAAAAAAAAUAAGAACUCUGUUGUUUGAUGUUUUUCAAAUAUAGUGGUAGUAGAAAGCACCUAUUUGGCUAGAAACCUUAAGAAAACCAUAGGAAAAGAAUUAAAAGAUAUUAAUGGCUAGAAAUUUGUGUUAAGUCAUGUUAUAACACCUAAAAGCCAGCAAAAAUAAGUUUUAGAGAAUUACCCACUGUUAAAUAAUAGUUGUAGUUCAAAGUACCCCUUCUGCCCUAGAAUUUGGUAAUUUUGUCCAGAGAAAACUAUUCACCUUCUGAUUCCCAAAUUUUGAGACAGAGCAACACACACCAUUAACAGGCCACUGUAAUUUUUGCAGAAUUUUUGGAAUUUUAUAAAAGCAACUUGUAGUUCAAACCUACUCCAAAACAUUAAAGGAAUAAAAGAAAAGGAAAGAAGAAAUAAACCCCACCUCAAUAAGUCUAACUUGAGAACUUAUCAUUUAUCACUAAGACUUAAAAGGAAUUCAGUAGAAUCCCAAAAUCUAACCUACCCCUUUCCUUAGCUAAGUUUAACCCAAUUUACCCAGUAUACCACUAAGGGUUUUACAUAAGUAAAGUUAACUUGUUUUAACUUAAAAGAUCAUACACCUUUAAAGUUGUAAUUUCUAAAAGCACAUAUCAUAUCAUGCAUAUAUCUUACGCAUUGCAUUCAUUAGAUUGCAAUCUUGCCGACGGAGAGUACGUGCUCAUCCCCGAGCAAGGACCUGUCCAAGAGGAGGACCAGGAGCAGGCUUUAGAGGCUGCUAUUGAGGAUCUCCCCGCAGCCCCAGCAAUUGAAGGCAAGCCCCGGUUUUAUGCAUAACCAUGUUAUUAUAUGCUACUUUACUACACUUAUUGCUUGUAGGAUUGCAAUGUGCACUUAAGUGUAGGAGUUGCUUGAAACCUCUAGUUGCAUGAACUUAGGAUUCCUUUUUGAGAUGAAUACUAGUAUGCUAGGUCGAGUAGCUGCUUGCUAAUCAGGAUCUCGGUAGAAGUCGAGUGAUUUUUCUAGCACUCGCGCGAGGUCAGGAAUUGAUUGUAUUCAUCUUGAUAACGGGAUUUAUGUUGGUCUAUGGACUUGGAUCUAGGGAGGAUGCCUUGUCCAUGAGACGGGAAAAAUGAAUUAAGGAUUAAUGUGUGGAUACCUGAGUCAAGCUUUUGAACGUACUAAGCACAUGCCGGGAAAAAUGGUAACCGGUAAACCUAGUACCUGAGUGAAGCCGGGCGCGGACUUUAUCCCUCAUGCGACCUGAGACUGGGUCUCCCAUGCUAGCUAUGGUGGGUACAAGUGCGGUCACUGCACGGCGGCAGCCGGGGUCAGUGGAGCAUUGUAUGCCAAGGCGGUGAGGCCUGGACGCGAACGGGGAAUCGAUGGGGACGGUUGUCAUGUGUGGGGUCAGAGUACCCUGACAUGCCGUGUGUUUAGGUUUACCUUGCAAGGUUUAAAACUCGAUUCGAAUCGUCUGCUUCUCGCAGCUAAUGAGACUGCUUGAUUCCUUGUACUGCAUCGAGUAAGAAGUGAAAUGUGGUUAUAUGAGAUAACUUGUUGGUUGAACUAAUUGAUUGUUACCAUGUAUGCUUAGAAGGAGCAAAUCUAGCUAAGUUAAUGAUGGUAGAAUUUGAAAAGCUAAAAAUUGAUUUUAGAAACAGCUAGUGCUUUUGGCAAACCAAACCCCUCAGCCAAACAGCUGCAUAGUCUAGAGGUAGAGGAGUAGACUCCUCACACCGGUUAAGUCUAGCUGAGUAUUAGUAUACUCAGCCUUGCUUGUGGCACCAUUUUUGCAGGUACCAUUCAGGAAAUGGUUGAUGGUGUGACUUGGCCUACCACCCUGCCACCGGGUUGGACGGUCGAGUGGGAUGUUGCUCCGGCAGGAGAGGAGCAUGAGGAGUAGUGGGCUAGGCCUUGCCCAUUUCCUCAUUACCGACGAC